CCUACGGGUGGCAGCAGUGAGGAAUAUUGGUCAAUGGCCGGAAGGCUGAACCAGCCAUGCCGCGUGAAGGUCAGUGCCCUAUGGGCGUUAAACUUCUUUUGUGCGGGAGCAAUAAUGGUCACGUGUGGCCAGACGAGAGUACCGUACGAAUAAGCAUCGGCUAACUCCGUGCCAGCAGCCGCGGUAAUACGGGGGAUGCAAGCGUUAUCCGGAUUUAUUGGGUUUAAAGGGUGCGUAGGCUGUGAGGUAAGUCAGCGGUGAAAUGCCCCCGCUCAACGGGGUGAAGUGCCAUUGAUACUGCCUUGCGGGAGUGCGGAUGCGGUGGGAGGAAUGUGUGGUGUAGCGGUGAAAUGCAUAGAUAUCACACAGAACACCGAUUGAGAAGGCAUCUCACGAAUCCGCGAUUGACGCGGAUGCACGAAAGCGUGGGUAGCAAACAGGAUGAGAUACCCGAGUAGUC
rnacentral:rRNA from 1 species